UUCUCUCCCAAAUCUCGCACUCACGUUUUCUACUUCGUCGGCGCACACGAACGAUUUCUUCUCCGGCUGCACACACACGAUUUCUCCUCCGGCUUGCACGUGAUCUUCUUCUCCGGUCCCAAAUCAAGCACGGCUUUAAGACAGGCAUGGCUCUGACUUAAGGGGCAAGCGAUCUUCUUCUCUGUCUCCAAAUCACGCACGCACAACCCUCCGGCUUAAGGCGCACACGAUCUUCUUCUCCGGCGUUCUUUCUACGAUCCACUGAACAAGCUUAAGCUCAGGUACUAUAAAGUAUAAACCAUCAUACCAAGAGUUAUUCAUGCAAACUGAUACAAGCAAUGGUCAUGAUUCAACAAUUUCUGCUUGUGAAAAGGGUUAUAUUUCUGACUACCAUCGAUUUGGAUGGCUAUGAUUUUUAGCUCUCUGCAUACAUGCACUUGGACGCUUCAAGGAUCUUGUGGCAUGUACUAAUGGACUAGUUUCUAUACUGGCUAUACUUAUUCUCCAUUAGCCCAAGCAUAUCAGGAAAUUUAGUAUUCAAGACUCACCAAUCUUUGCUAAACGGUCAGAUAAGGGAGUCAACCUUUUAGCUUCUCUAUGCUAGAAAAUAU